rnacentral:lncRNA from 13 species
AGUCGAUGAAAAAUUAUCCGGUUACCGUUUUUAUCAGGCUUGGGAAGCAUCACAAAUUCUCUAUAGCACAAUAAAUAAGCUCGAGGAAGAAAUUCAUAACACGCAACUUGCAUGCUGGAACCUACGAUUAUGAUAACUAUGAUCAUCGAGAAACGUUUCAUGAAGAAUGAAAAAUGUGAAAGUGAAAGCGCCGAAAUUGACGAAUAUCCGCGAAUGUAUAAACUUAUUUAAAAUUGCACAACGCAAGGCGAGACUUUUUCUCGCCAGUAUAUUGUAAGUAUUUACGUAUAAUAAUUGAAAUUAUUGAAAUUUUAUUUAUUCUUACAAAUAACUUUUGCGAGAAUCACUGGGGAAAUAUUGAUUUAUUAAAUUUGAAAAGACAUUUUCAUGAUGUUGAAGCUAGCAGCGGAUUCGCAGCAGCAGAUUCGUCAAAGCAGGGAUUCUCAUUCAAAAUAAA